rnacentral:rRNA from 1 species
GAUCCUGGCUUAGGAUGAACGCUGGCGGCGUGCUUAACACAUGCAAGUUGCGCGGUGAUCUCAAGAAGUUUCGGACGGAAAGGGAGAGCAGCAGCGGACGGGUGAGUAAAGCACAAGGACUUGUCCCGAAGAGGGGGACAACUGUGGGAAACCACAGCUAAUACCCCAUAAGCCGAGAGGUGAAAGCAGCGAUGCGCUUUAGGAGAGACUUGUGUCCUAUCAGGUAGUUGGUGAGGUAACGGCUCACCAAGCCGAAGACGGGUAGCCGGACUGAGAGGUUGUACGGCCACAUUGGAACUGAGAGACGGUCCAGACUCCUACGGGAGGCAGCAGUGGGGAAUAUUGGGCAAUGGGGGGCCAACCCUGACCCAGCGACGCCGCGUGAGGGAAGACAGCCUUCGGGUUGUAAACCUCUGUUGCAGGGGAAGAAGAAAGUGACGGUACCCUGCGAGGAAGCUCCGGCAAACUACGUGCCAGCCGCCGC